UUGCACAAGUUCUAAAAGCAAAAUACUUUUCGAGUGAAUUUUUUAGAUGCGCGUUUUAGGAAUAAUUGUUCGUAUGCAUGGAAAAGCAUAUGGGCUACGAAGGGCAUUUUAGAGGAGGGACUAUUCUAGAAGGUAGGCAGGGGUACGAAUAUUUAAGUUCUGAAUGGCAUUUGGAUUCUUGAUGCAAGAAUUUUCAGAUUAUCAUCUUUGGUUAAUAAUUUGAGUGAUUUUAAAGUUGCUGAGUUAAUUGAUACCAGUAGCAGAAUGUGGAAUAAAAAAGAGUUGAUUGAUUCUACCUUUCCAGAUAAAGUAGCUGAUAGCAUUCUGCGCAUCCCGCUGGCAGUUGAACCUCACGAUGAUUUUCUGGCAUGGAGCGGUGAGCAUUCAGGAGAGUAUACAAUACGUAGUGCCUAUAAACUAUUACAAAGCAUUGAAGAAGAUCUUAGAUCUUAUGCUUUACAAACCGACUAUAAGGGAUUCUAUAAAAAAAAUUAUGGCUACUUAAUCUACCUUCAAAAAUAAAAAUUACAAUCUGGAAAAUAUCAUGUAACAAUCUCCCUAUACGGGUCAAUAUGCAACAUAGAAAGUUAACAAACACUACGAUAUGCCCCUGUUGUGAAAGUGGAGCAGAGACUAUGGACCAUCUAUUCCGGGAAUGUCCUGCUUCAGUAUUAGUAUGGAGAGAGUUAGCAUGUCAGACUUUUCUACUUGAACAUCAUUUAGAGUUUUUACAGUGGCUAACCUGGGUUUUUGAGCAAAGCACUUCAUUCCAGUAUAGGAUUUUUUGUUGCAUUUUAUGGGCAAUAUGGGGAGAUAGGAACGCAACAGUGCAUAGGAAGGCCAGCAAAUUUGGAAAAGAAAUAGUGAGUUUUGUUCACAAUUAUAUUUUAGAAUUAAAUGAGAUUGAAAAGAGAAGCCCUAAUGUCUUUUCAGUUGUCAGUGAAUGGAAGCACCCAUUCGAUCAUUUUGUGAAAAUCAACUUUGAUGCAGCAUAUGAUGGGAGAUUUUGUCAUUCGGCACUAGGGAUUGUGGUCAGAAAUAGUAAAGGCAAGGUUCUCUUAGCAUGCUCAGAAAUCCAUCAACAAGUUGCAUAAGCUUUUGCUGCUGAAGCACUCGCGUGUCAAAGAGCAACACAACUCGGAAUAGAUAUGAAAUGGAAAAACAUUAUCAUCGAAGGUGAUUCAUUAUCAAUAAUAAAAAAAUGCAAGACGAAUAGUCAAGAUAAGUCCCUGAUAGGUGCAUAUAUACAUGAUAUUCAAUAGAUCUUGUUUAAAUCUAGAAAAUGCAGAUUUGAAUACACUCCACGAACAGUAAAUAACCUAGCACACUCUAUUGCAAUCGAAACGUUGAAGAGUAAGAAGGAGAUUUACCUAAUAGGAAGAGUCCCCCAAUAUGUAGAAAAACAGAAAGAAAGGGAUAGUGUGAGAGAACCAGACUAAAAAUGAAAGGUAAAAGAUGAAGAAUGGAGAGUUUUGAAAUGGAAAUCAAUAGGUUCGGAGGAAAAGCUCUCCUUGGAAACUGGAAGCAUCUUUAAUAAGAAAUGGCAGAUGAUAAGACAAGACGAAUUCAAAUCGUUUUUCAGAUUAGGAAGAGUAAUGGCAUUUAAUGCGGUUUCUAGAGUAUUUUGAUAUUUUUUCUUAUUUUCUUG
rnacentral:lncRNA from 1 species